AUUGUGUGGGCAGGUAGUCCCUCCCCUACCUGGCCUGAUCUCCUUGGCAACGCUUCCCCCAGGUGGGAUUGGACAACUGACUGGGGUAGGCGGAGACCUCCAGGUAUCCCACCUGAGGGAAGCCAAAGCCAAGCCUAUGCUGAUGGAGCCGCUACAGAUCCAGGGGCUGCGCGCGUCCACGCAAAGGUCGCCCCCCAUUUUAUGCGGGGAGCGGUCAUUAUGCUGCUUGGCCUUCUAAGGGUUAAGUUACAGAGACAGCUUCCUAGAGAGAUUUGCUGAGGGGAAGAGGAGGAAAAAACACACCACCGUUGCAAUAUAUCAUCACGACAUUAAGAUAUGAAGAUGCCACGCAAUAGCAUCCCUGUCGAAUCAGUUUAUUUUUCCUCCAGAAUGAUAAAGUUGCUAAAAACA